GGCACCCAGACGUCCUCUUUCCUACCUGGAUUCUUAGCAGGUGGUGGGCUCUGUCAGGAUGAAGCUGAGCAUCUCCUUCCCAGCCACUGGCUGCCAGCAACUCCUGGACAAUGAAGCAAGCUCUGCCUAUUCCAGAGGCGAGAGGUUACAGAAGUAGUUGCUGAUCCUCUGGGUGAAUAGUGGAGAGGCUACAUGGUCUGAACCAGUGGUGGGAACAGCCGAGAAGGGUUUCCCUUGAAAGGGCCCAGCAAGGUGUGUGGACCUGCUGUUGUGUAAACCUCUUGUUAGAGACCAAAGAAAACCGGAGAGGGGCAGCCAGAGCCUGUCUGCAGUCACAUUAUGGAUGCCGGUCUGAUUUCUCAACUUGAUUAUCAUAAGCGAAGGAGAGGAGACUCCCAGACAGAGAGACAUGACUGUGCUUCAGCGGUUAGGACCCAGAAGAACUGCAGAAACUGAAAGCUUUUCAGUCUUUCUGAAGAGGCUGAUGGUGUCGGCCAACACAUUGUCAGAAAGUAAGCAGAGGGUGUAAGAAGCCGAGGACCAAAGCCCCCAAGAUCCAGCAUGUGGUUACUCCAGCAAAUGCUGAUGUAUUGUUCAGUGGAGACACCAUGCUGUGGAGACCUAGGAGAGGCUGCAGCUAAGCAUUGGGCCAGGAGAAUGAAGGAAGUCAAAGUGGGGGGAAAUGCCAGGAACAGACUCCCAAGAGAUGUAGCCUGCUUCCACUUCCAAGUCAACAAAAAAUGAUCCAAGCUUCAAAAAUACAUUUUGGUGGCUUGGGAGGGCAGCCACAGGGCUCAGUGUGUAAAGGCACUUACACACCUGAGUUUCAUCCCUGGACCCACCUGGUGGAAGAAGAAAACGGACUCCAGCAAGUUGUCCUCUGUCCCCCACACCUGUGUUAUAGCUCCCACAUGCACACACACAAUACAUGAAUAGAUUUGAGACACCUUAAAAUACCAAAAAUAGAAUUUUUUUAUUAAACCCCAUCUCUACUAGUCCACAAUUCUUUUCUGCAUCAAAGUCAUUGGUCCCAACUUGACCUGAUUAAAUGUCACUGAAACAUUGGGGGUAGUAGCCAGAAUGAGGUGUGUGAGAGGAUGGAGCUUGGCCCCUUCUCUGGGUCCCUUGACAACAUGGCAAAAUGCCAGACAAGAAGCCACUUAGAGAAGAGAGAGGUGGACAGAUCUUCAAGACAGAAAGGAGGGACCAGUUUCUGUCCAGUGUGGUAAGAACUGGCCUGCUCCUGCCCUGGUCAUGAAGGAGAGGCAGGGGGACUCUAGUGUUCUGCUGGAGCAGGGAGGACAGGCUGGUACCUCUUUUAGGGUGACAAGCUUAGAAAUCCUAAAGUCCCAGAGCGGUAUCCUAGAUGAGUUCUGUAGUUCUCAGUAUUCCAAAAGGGAUCCUCCAUCUCCUGCAAGAGUCAAAGCAGAUUCAGGGCCGUUAUCGUUAACUGGCGAUGUCCCAAAUAUCUUGCUCCUCACUCAGAGUGCCCAAAUCCGAAGAUUCUACACCCCCAUCGUGAGUCCUCUGUGCCACCCCAUGUCUUACCUGAUCAUCCACAACAAUCUUGCUAGAGUCUUGGGGACUGUCUCCAUCUAGGGAAGAACAAAACAGGACCCAGUCACACUUCAGAAGACGGGAGGCUAAAGAAGGAACUAUGGGCUGGUGAGCUCCCAUGGGCCCCGAGGGUCUCAGAGAUCACCCCUCACCACACUCACCUGCUUCCUGGGUGUCGUGCCUUCCUCUUUCACCUGAGGAAAGAAAACCAUGUAUGCAUGACAUGGGAGCACAAUCUUCCUAAUGCUGCAAUCUUUAAUACUAUAUCAUGUUGCAAUGACCCCCAACCAUAAAGUUACUUUGUUGCUA
rnacentral:lncRNA from 14 species